UACAGAGGGGGCAAGCGUUGUUCGGAAUUACUGGGCGUAAAGGGCGCGUAGGCGGCCGGCUAAGUCGAACGUGAAAUCCCCGGGCUCAACCCGGGAACUGCGUCCGAUACUGGUCGGCUUGAAUUCGGGAGAGGGAUGCGGAAUUCCAGGUGUAGCGGUGAAAUGCGUAGAUAUCUGGAGGAACACCGGUGGCGAAGGCGGCAUCCUGGACCGAGAUUGACGCUGAGGCGCGAAAGCCAGGGGAGCAAACGGG
rnacentral:rRNA from 1 species